rnacentral:rRNA from 2 species
UGAGGAAUAUUGGUCAAUGGGCGAGAGCCUGAACCAGCCAAGUCGCGUGAGGGAAGACGGCCCUACGGGUUGUAAACCUCUUUUGUCAGGGAGCAAAAGGCGGUACGUGUACCGCAAAGGAGAGUACCUGAAGAAAAAGCAUCGGCUAACUCCGUGCCAGCAGCCGCGGUAAUACGGAGGAUGCGAGCGUUAUCCGGAUUUAUUGGGUUUAAAGGGUGCGUAGGCGGAAUGCCAAGUCAGCGGUAAAAUUACGGGGCUCAACCUCGCCGAGCCGUUGAAACUGGUGUUCUUGAGUGGAAGAGAAGUAUGCGGAAUGUGUGGUGUAGCGGUGAAAUGCAUAGAUAUCACGCAGAACUCCGAUUGCGAAGGCAGCGUACCGGCUUCCAACUGACGCUGAAGCACGAAAGCGUGGGUAUCGAACAGG